AUUGAACGCUGGCGGCAUGCCUAACACAUGCAAGUCGAACGGGGUAGGGGCAACUCUACUUCAGUGGCGGACGGGUGAGGAAUGCGUCGGAAUCUACCCUAUGGUGGGGGAUAACACAGGGAAACUUGUGCUAAUACCGCAUGAUGUCGAGAGACCAAAGCAGGGGACCGCAAGGCCUUGCGCGAUAGGAUGAGCCGACGCCCGAUUAGCUAGUUGGUAGGGUAAAGGCCUACCAAGGCGACGAUCGGUAGCUGGUCUGAGAGGAUGAUCAGCCACACUGGGACUGAGACACGGCCCAGACUCCUACGGGAGGCAGCAGUGGGGAAUAUUGGACAAUGGGCGCAAGCCUGAUCCAGCAAUGCCGCGUGUGUGAAGAAGGCCUGCGGGUUGUAAAGCACUUUUGUUCGGGAAGAAAACGGAUCGGUUAAUACCCGGUUCGGAUGACGGUACCGAAAGAAUAAGCACCGGCUAACUUCGUG
rnacentral:rRNA from 1 species